GACGAACGCUGGCGGCGUGCUUAACACAUGCAAGUCGAACGGUAAGGCCCUUCGGGGUACACGAGUGGCGAACGGGUGAGUAACGCGUGAGUAACCUGCCCUUCACUCUGGGAUAACAGUUGGAAACGGCUGCUAAUACCGGAUAUUCAGCUCCUGUCGCACGGUGGGGGUUGGAAAGUUUUGGUGGUGGAGGAUGGGCUCGCGUCCUAUCAGCUUGUUGGUGGGGUGAUGGCCUACCAAGGCGUCGACGGGUAGCCGGCCUGAGAGGGCGACCGGCCACAUUGGGACUGAGAUACGGCCCAAACUCCUACGGGAGGCAGCAGUGGGGAAUAUUGCACAAUGGGCGGAAGCCUGAUGCAGCAACGCCGCGUGCGGGAUGACGGCCUUCGGGUUGUAAACCGCUUUCAGCAGGGACGAAGCGCAAGUGACGGUACCUGCAGAAGAAGCACCGGCUAACUACGUG
rnacentral:rRNA from 1 species